GCGAGUGAAGAGGGAAAAGCUCAAAAUUAAAAUCUGGCAAGACUUGAUCUUGUCCGAAUUGUAGUUUAAAGAAACGUUUUCGGGGGUGGCUGGGGUCCAAGUCCAUUGGAAUGUGGCGCCAUGGAGGGUGAUAGCCCCGUACGGCCCCUUACUUCACUCCUAUACGAUACGUUUUCUAAGAGUCGUACAGCUUGGGAAUGCUGUNCUAAGAGGGAGGUAAAUACCUUCUAAAGCUAAAUACUGGCGAGAGACCGAUAGCGAACAAGUACCGUGAGGGAAAGUUGCAAAGAACUUUGAAAAGAGAGUUAAACAGUACGUGAAAUUGUCCAAAGGGAAACGCUUCGACACCCUCGCGCGGGGCGCGGCCAUCAGCCUUCUUUUUGGAGGUGCACUGGCUCGUUGCUCCGGCAGAAGAUCGGUUAGAUUNNNNNUAGAAAGCUUGGCGGAAGGUGACAUUUUUUUGGUGUUAUACCGCCUCGUGAUUGCCCUGGGUUUGACCGAGGACUGCUGCCCCCUUGGGGAAGCAGCUUCCGUUUCUUUGCGGCCGGAAAACAACCUGGUUGAUUUCUGGCUUGUUUCAAAGGAACGAUAGGCUGUGUACCACUUUGUGCUUGCAUAGGAUCUUCUGAGAACGGUUCGAAGCGCCCCGUCUUGAAACACGGACCAAGGAGUCCAACNCACAGGCGAGUCUUUGGGUGGCAAACCCGAAGGCGAAAUGAAAGUAAUUUCUCUUCAGGUNCCAACCCCCUUUACCGGGAUGCAGCAUCGGCCGGAUCUUGAGGUUUANCAAAGGAUCUGAGCAGGAGCCUGUUUGUUGGGACCCGAAAGAUGGUGAACUAUACCUGAGUAGGUUGAAGUCAGAGGAAA
rnacentral:rRNA from 1 species